CACCUCUGGUGUACCAGUUGUUCUGUCAAGAGCAUUGCUGGGUAGCUAAGUGCGGAAGAGAUAAGCGCUGAAAGCAUCUAAGCGCCAAGCUCCUCCCAAGAUGAAUUCUCCCUGAGGAUCGUGGUAGACCACCACGUUGAUAGGCUGGCGGUGUAAGUGCAGUAAUGCAUUCAGCUCACCAGUACUAAUCAUCCAAUUGGCUUGAUUCC
rnacentral:rRNA from 1 species